rnacentral:lncRNA from 1 species
UUGUAAGUGUACAAUUUUGUACCUUGAAAUUUGAUUUUGAUCUUGGUUGGCAACUGGUCAUUUUUGGAUAUCAAUCCAAUCUAUUAUAGAAAUUUUUAAGCAUGAUCCUAUGUUCAUCUUUAACCUAAUAUCAACUAUAUCAAUGAUUUAUCUCAUUCAUCUUAUUUUUAUUAAUUUAUAGCUACUUUAAGAUAAUAAAAGAGUUUCUAUAGCCUAAAAAGAAAAUUUGAUAAUUAGCUUUUAUCUAUUAGCUAUGAAGAUAAGUAAAUAAUCUAAGAGACUUUCAUAAAGCCUUUCUUAAUUUUCUUGAGUUCUUAUUGAAU